CGCGCGCUGCCCGGCUCGCCCCGGUUUGUGCAUUAUCAUGGUAAUAGCCUGUGCAGCAAGUCAGAGUACUGCUAAGGGCCUGAUCUUUUCCUUUUUUAAUAGUAGUCAGCUGAUACAGGUCGAAGUUAAGUACACUCAUCUUCUGAAAACCUUUGUUUUCCACCCAUUUCAACUGCUAAAGUUACAGAAGCUACACAGUCCUUUGUGACUUCAGUCAGGCCCAUGCAAUUCUCCAUCUUCAGAUAAGACACACAGGUGCAAUCAGCAUAUACUUCAGACUCGAUUACAUUAUACAAGUGGGUUUAAAACUGGAAUUUAGCCAUUAGGUCUACUAUAAAAUCUCAAGUUUCCUGUCCCCAAAAUAUGCAUGGUAGCACUACAGGACAAAAACAAAAGACACCCACAACAGAAUGAUAUUGACCCUAAAGACCUGACAGCUAGUUAGGAACGUGCAGUUUGCACGAUCUCUGUUUAGAAUAGCACUUCUCUUUAAACAAUUAUUUAGCCCUCUUAAAAUUCAAAAAUCUCCCCUGGAUCCCUAAAACAAGGGCUGCAGAGUGGACAUUAGUUUGUUAGAUAGGCAUAUUUAGAAAAACGUACCUCUGCAGGUGCCUGUUUGUUCCUAGUAGUGACAUUAGCCAGCGAUUACAUGGCAAGGUUUGGCCCUGAAGUUCUAACAGAGUUUUCCAAAUUUGUUUCCUUGUUUUGCCCUUUUUCAGCACUACUCAGUGUUCUACUUUCUCCUUGCAGCUUACUCAGAUUCCUCCCCACAAUGCCUAAGUCACUGCUCCGGGUAGAGCUCUACAUCAUUUGGCUGUGUGAAUCCCUUUUCUCAGAAAUUUCCAACCAACUCAGUGUAAACAGAAAAAAGAGGAAAAAGAKCCUGUGAGAUACAGUAAGCGCAAAAAUGAAGAAAAUUAAAUCUCUGGUCUGGUAAACAGAAAACUCUGUUCAGUCACAAGACAACCAUCAGAUUUCACUCUUAGAGAAUACUAUCACGAGACCUUCACAUCUAGGAAAAAGUAUGUGUCUUUAUCUUUGCCCUGAAAGGCAGGUGCACAGUCCUCCUGAGCAGACUCCACUUCUAUAUAAAUACUCUCUCAAAGCAAGCUCAGCUAAGCCAGUCUGAUGAUCAUGAAGACCAUUUUUUCAUUAUAAUGGAAGUCUACACUACUUAGGGAGAAAUGUUUGGCUAAACUACAAAUUUAAAAUCUACUGAAACACUGCAGAAUAACAUUUGGCUCAUAAAUCAGGAUUAAGACUAAUACCAAAGCUGGAGGUAUCCUGCCAAGGCCCCAUGCAGAAACUGAAUUUUGGUUUGAGACCUCAGAGUUAUCAGUAACAGAGCUGCACCUGAUUGACUAAUAAAAGGAAAAUGUUAAAUUUCCUGUAACUAGAG
rnacentral:lncRNA from 1 species